rnacentral:lncRNA from 1 species
GGGAAUUCAUAAAUGAGUAAUGGCCUUACAACAUGUUCCCAAGGUCACGUGUGUAUUAUCUCGAAGAAAAACAUUUACCAUAUUCGUAACCUUCACUUUUCAAAUAUUCAGGAGAAAAUGGUUAAAGCAAAGGAAACUAGUCUUAUUAGUUAAUCACCCUAUUACAUAAAGAAAAUAUCUUAUACGAUUUAUAUAGAAAAAAUCUAUAGAAUUAUUUUC